rnacentral:rRNA from 1 species
CCUACGGGUGGCAGCAGUGGGGAAUAUUGGACAAUGGGGGCAACCCUGAUCCAGCCAUGCCGCGUGUGUGAAGAAGGCCCUCGGGUUGUAAAGCACUUUCAGUGAGGAAGAACGCCUGGUGGUUAAUACCCAUCAGGAAAGACAUCACUCACAGAAGAAGCACCGGCUAACUCCGUGCCAGCAGCCGCGGUAAUACGGAGGGUGCGAGCGUUAAUCGGAAUUACUGGGCGUAAAGCGCGCGUAGGUGGCUUGAUAAGCCGGUUGUGAAAGCCCCGGGCUCAACCUGGGAACGGCAUCCGGAACUGUCAAGCUAGAGUGCAGGAGAGGAAGGUAGAAUUCCCGGUGUAGCGGUGAAAUGCGUAGAGAUCGGGAGGAAUACCAGUGGCGAAGGCGGCCUUCUGGACUGACACUGACACUGAGGUGCGAAAGCGUGGGUAGCAAACAGGAUUAGAUACUCUUGUAGUC